rnacentral:rRNA from 1 species
UACGUAGGGUGCGAGCGUUGUCCGGAAUUAUUGGGCGUAAAGGGCUCGUAGGCGGUCUGUCGCGUCGGUAGUGAAAACUCAGGGCUUAACCCUGAGCCUGCUUCCGAUACGGGCAGACUAGAGGUAUGCAGGGGAGAACGGAAUUCCUGGUGUAGCGGUGAAAUGCGCAGAUAAUCAGGAGGAACACCGGUGGCGAAGGCGGUUCUCUGGGCAUUACCUGACGCUGAGGAGCGAAAGCGUGGGGAGCGAACAGG